rnacentral:rRNA from 1 species
UACGAAGGACCCAAGCGUUAUCCGGAUUUAUUGGGUUUAAAGGGUGCGUAGGCGGGUUAUUAAGUCAGUGGUGAAAGCCUGCAGCUUAACUGCAGAAUUGCCAUUGAUACUGAUGAUCUUGAGUAUGAUUGAGGUGGGCGGAAUGUGUCAUGUAGCGGUGAAAUGCUUAGAUAUGACACAGAACACCGAUUGCGAAGGCAGCUCACUAAGCCAUAACUGACGCUGAUGCACGAAAGCGUGGGGAGCAAACAGG